rnacentral:rRNA from 1 species
UCAAGCUAAUAAGAGCAUAAGGUGAAUGCCUUGGCAUCAAGAACCGAUGAAGGACGUAAAAAGCUGCGAUAAGCUUCGGGGAGGCGCACAUAGCCAACGAUCCGGAGAUUUCCGAAUGGGGAAACCUAGCUGAGAAAAGCUCAGUUGGCGUACAGUGAAUCAAUAGCUGUGCGUAGGGAACGCUCUGAACUGAAACAUCUAAGUAGGAGCAGGAAGAGAAAGAAACAUCGAUUUCCUAAGUAGUGGCGAACGAACGGGAAACAGGCCAAACCGAGAUACAUGUAUUUCGGGGUUGUGGACUACAUCAUGUGAUGGAGGUAAGGUAGUAGAAUUGUUUUGGGAAAGCAAGCCAAAGAAAGUGAAAGCCUUGUAUACGAAACCUGAAGACCCACAGUAGUAUCCAGAGUACAUCGGGACACGUGAAACCCUGAUGGAAGCCGGAGGGACCACCCUCCAAGCCUAAAUAUUCCUUGAUGACCGAUAGCGAAGAAGUACUGUGAAGGAAAGGUGAAAAGAACCCCGGGAGGGGAGUGAAAGAGAACCUGAAACCUUAUGUUUACAAACAGUCGAAGUUUUUCGGAACGACGGCGUACUUUUUGUAGAACGGUCCGGCGAGUUGCAGUGACAUGCGAGGUUAAGGAGUACAGCUCCGGAGCCGAAGGGAAACCAAGUCUUAACUGGGCGUCUAGUAUGUUAAUGCAGACCCGAAACCGGGUGACCUAUCCAUGGGCAGGUUGAAGUUACCGUAAAAGGUAAUGGAGGACCGAACUCACAUCUGUUGAAAAAGGUGGAGAUGACCUGUGGAUAGCGGAGAAAUUCCAAUCGAACUCGGAGAUAGCUGGUUCUCCUCGAAAUAGCUUUAGGGCUAGCCUUGAGGUAAAGUCUAAUGGAGGUAAAGCACUGAUUGGACGCGGGUCCCCAAAAGGAUACCAACUUCUAUCAAACUCAGAAUGCCAUAUAGAUAUACUCAGGAGUCAGACUAUGUGAGAUAAGUUUCAUAGUCAAAAGGGAAAGAGCCCAGACCGACAGCUAAGGUCCCAAAGUGUGUGUUAAGUGGAAAAGGAUGUUAGGUUUCUAAGACAACUAGGAUGUUGGCUCAGAAGCAGCCACUCAUUUAAAGAGUGCGUAACAGCUCACUAGUCGAGAGGUCUAGCGCCGAAAAUGUCCGGGGCUAAAACACACCACCGAAGCUACGGAAUUACCUAUGGUAAUUGGUAGAGGAGCAUUCUGUAAGGACGAAGCACAAUUGAAAGAGAGUGUGGACGAAACAGAAGAGAGAAUGCCGGAAUGAGUAGCGAGAUAUAUGUGAGAAUCAUAUAGGUCGAAUGUCUAAGGUUUCCUGGGUAAAGCUGAUCUGCUCAGGGUAAGUCGGGACCUAAGGUGAGGGCGAGAGCCGUAAUCGAUGGACAACAGGUAGAAAUUCCUGUACUACGUAUAAUCAGAACUGUGGGGACGCAGGAGGAUAGGAAAACCGGAGAAUGGAAAAAUCCGGCUAAGUACAAAGGUGUGAGUGAUAGGCAAAUCCGUCACUAUAAGCUGAAGUACGAAUGGGAGCGAAGAAAAGUAGCGAAGUUUCUGAAUCCACACUGUCAAGAAAAGCCGCUAUUGCGUUAUACGUACCCGUACCGCAAACCGACACAGGUAGACGAGGAGAAAAUCCACAGACCGACGGGAGAAGUGUUGUUAAGGAACUCGGCAAAAUGACCCCGUAACUUAGGGAUAAGGGGAGCCAACGCAAGUUGGUCACAGAAAAGAGGCUCAAGCGACUGUUUAGCAAAAACAUAGGUCUAUGCGAAACCGUAAGGUGAUGUAUAUGGGCUGACACCUGCCCGGUGCUGGAAGGUCAAAAGGAGAGGUUAGCGUAAGCGAAGCUUUGAAUUCAAGCCCCAGUAAACGGCGGCCGUAACUAUAACGGUCCUAAGGUAGCGAAAUUCCUUGUC